UACGGAGGAUGCGAGCGUUGUCCGGAUUUACUGGGUGUAAAGGGCGUGUAGCCGGGCUGACAAGUCAGAUGUGAAAUUCCGGGGCUCAACCCCGGACCUGCAUUUGAAACUGUUGGUCUUGAGUAUCGGAGAGGCAGGCGGAAUUCCUAGUGUAGCGGUGAAAUGCGUAGAUAUUAGGAGGAACACCAGUGGCGAAGGCGGCCUGCUGGACGAUGACUGACGCUGAGGCUCGAAAGCGUGGGGAGCAAACAGG
rnacentral:rRNA from 1 species